CCUUCGGGUGGCAGCAGUGAGGAAUAUUGGUCAAUGGGCGCGAGCCUGAACCAGCCAAGUAGCGUGAAGGAUGACUGCCCUACGGGUUGUACACUUCUUUUAUAAAGGAAUAAAGUGAGGCACAUUUGCCUUUUUGUAUGUACUUUAUGAAUAAGGGUCGGCGAACUCCGUGCCAGCAGCCGCGGUAAUACGGAGGAUGCGGGCGUUAUUCGGAUUUAUUGUGUUUACAGGGAACGUAGAUGGGUUGUUAAGUCAGUUGUGAAAGUUUGCGGCUCAACCGUAAAAUUGCAAUUGAUACUGGCAGUCUUGAGUACAGUUGAGGUAGGCGGAAUUCGUGGUGUAGCGGUGAAAUGCUUAGAGAUCACGAAGAACUCCGAUUGCGAAGGCAGCUUACUAAACUGCCACUGACAUUGAUGCGCGAAAGUGUGGGUAUCAAACAGGAUUAGAUACCCUUGUAGUC
rnacentral:rRNA from 1 species